ACACCGAUGGUGAAGUGGUUAUCAUGCUUGCCUUCCAUCGAAAUCGGUAGCAAGCGGCACGGGUUCGAUUCCCGUUCGGUGUA